CGCGUAUCAUAUUUCCAACUUUUCCCUAUACAAAUCACCCCAAAAUUUGAUGUUUUUUCGCUUACGUUUGCUCUACGAUUAUAUUGGUGUUCAGUUACCCUCGGUAUAGGAAAGAACAAGUCUUUAGACGCCUUUUGAAUGUACUUUUAUGGGGAAAUAAUCCUUAAUUCGAAUGUCACUUUUCGUUUGAUUGUGGGCUGUUUGUUAGAAUUUGUAUAGGAAAUUCGCCUCGCGCGUGGUGUCUGUUGAAGAAAACUGGCACUAGGACCUUCUGCGCAGGUCUUUGACUCCAGUUACCGCCUGAUUUGAAGUCUUCGUGAAAUUUGGCGCAUUUUGAUAGCAAAUUCAUGCUUAUUGAUGGCGAUUUGGGAAUGUCAAAAUGAGCGCAAAGAUGUGGGUUUUGCUUGUGUUUACAAGCUCAUUAGUAAUUCACUCGCUCGGCUGCAAGAGAUGGCGAAGGGACGUCUCAGACUCGAUCUCGACUCUACCUUAUAUACCUUAUAUGUCUUAUAUUGUACACCAGAUAAGUGUUGAACAAUUGUAAUGAUUUUACUUUUAAUAAAAUUAGUUAUACUGCCUCAUUAUAACUGAAGUUUACGCUUGGGAAAUGCUGCUUAGUAAUAUACAUUAUCUGAUUAAUACCGUAUAGUUACUUGAUCUACACUAUGGCAUCAGAAUACAAACGACAAGAGGAUCAAAGUUUAAUAUGAUUCGUGCUUGGCCAUUAUUGUUGUCAAUCGUAUUCAUAAAAUGCGUUGUCUUUUCUAGGUUUUUCAGCAGGUUUACUCGAUACAUCGUGUUCGAUUUAUAAGUCAAACGGUUCAGUGCUCGAAGCGUGCGCGCUUAGGUCUCACUCUCUCCGUCAUAUAAUAGUAACAAUAAUAAACUUUAUUUAAUUUAAUGAAGGUAUUACAAAACCAGUUUGGCACAUCUAAUCUUUAAUAUAAUGGUCUUCAACACUGGGCCGUCUGUAAUUUCACAGGACACUAGUUUGAGCAAAUGUUCAUUCAUAUAGGGGGAAAGUUUGAUAUGAUU